rnacentral:rRNA from 1 species
UACGAAGGGGGCUAGCGUUGCUCGGAAUCACUGGGCGUAAAGGGUGCGUAGGCGGGUCUUUAAGUCAGGGUGAAAUCCUGGAGCUCAACUCCAGAACUGCCUUUGAUACUGAAGAUCUUGAGUUCGGGAGAGGUGAGUGGAACUGCGAGUGUAGAGGUGAAAUUCGUAGAUAUUCGCAAGAACACCAGUGGCGAAGGCGGCUCACUGGCCCGAUACUGACGCUGAGGCACGAAAGCGUGGGGAG